UACGUAGGGUGCAAGCGUUGUCCGGAAUUAUUGGGCGUAAAGAGCUCGUAGGCGGUUUGUCGCGUCGAAUGUGAAAACCCGGGGCUCAACCCCGGGCCUGCAUUCGAUACGGGCAGACUAGAGUUCGGUAGGGGAGUCUGGAAUUCCUGGUGUAGCGGUGAAAUGCGCAGAUAUCAGGAGGAACACCGAUGGCGAAGGCAGGUCUCUGGGCUGACACUGACGCUCAUGCACGAAAGCGUGGGGAG
rnacentral:rRNA from 1 species